rnacentral:snRNA from 2 species
AAACUUACCUGAACAGGGUCAAUAAGAGAUUAAGAAGUCUCAUGGCCUAAAUCAAUGACCUACAUUGCACGUUUUAGGCGCAUAGGUCUACCAUCUGCCUGUGGAUAUUAUAAUUUGUGGUAGAUGGAGUAUGCGUUCGCGCGGCCCCUAU